GGGUUGUGAGGUUAAGCGACUAAGCGUACACGGUGGAUGCCCUGGCAGUCAGAGGCGAUGAAGGACGUGCUAAUCUGCGAUAAGCGUCGGUGAGGUGAUAUGAACCGUUAUAACCGGCGAUUUCCGAAUGGGGAAACCCAGUGUGUUUCGACACACUAUCAUUAACUGAAUCCAUAGGUUAAUGAGGCGAACCGGGGGAACUGAAACAUCUAAGUACCCCGAGGAAAAGAAAUCAACCGAGAUUCCCCCAGUAGCGGCGAGCGAACGGGGAGGAGCCCAGAGCCUGAAUCAGUGUGUGUGUUAGUGGAAGCGUCUGGAAAGGCGUGCGAUACAGGGUGACAGCCCCGUACACAAAAAUGCACAUAUUGUGAGCUCGAUGAGUAGGGCGGGACACGUGGUAUCCUGUCUGAAUAUGGGGGGACCAUCCUCCAAGGCUAAAUACUCCUGACUGACCGAUAGUGAACCAGUACCGUGAGGGAAAGGCGAAAAGAACCCCGGCGAGGGGAGUGAAAAAGAACCUGAAACCGUGUACGUACAAGCAGUGGGAGCCUCUUAAUGGGGUGACUGCGUACCUUUUGUAUAAUGGGUCAGCGACUUAUAUUCUGUAGCAAGGUUAACCGAAUAGGGGAGCCGAAGGGAAACCGAGUCUUAACUGGGCGUUAAGUUGCAGGGUAUAGACCCGAAACCCGGUGAUCUAGCCAUGGGCAGGUUGAAGGUUGGGUAACACUAACUGGAGGACCGAACCGACUAAUGUUGAAAAAUUAGCGGAUGACUUGUGGCUGGGGGUGAAAGGCCAAUCAAACCGGGAGAUAGCUGGUUCUCCCCGAAAGCUAUUUAGGUAGCGCCUCGUGAAUUCAUCUCCGGGGGUAGAGCACUGUUUCGGCAAGGGGGUCAUCCCGACUUACCAACCCGAUGCAAACUGCGAAUACCGGAGAAUGUUAUCACGGGAGACACACGGCGGGUGCUAACGUCCGUCGUGAAGAGGGAAACAACCCAGACCGCCAGCUAAGGUCCCAAAGUCAUGGUUAAGUGGGAAACGAUGUGGGAAGGCCCAGACAGCCAGGAUGUUGGCUUAGAAGCAGCCAUCAUUUAAAGAAAGCGUAAUAGCUCACUGGUCGAGUCGGCCUGCGCGGAAGAUGUAACGGGGCUAAACCAUGCACCGAAGCUGCGGCAGCGACACUAUGUGUUGUUGGGUAGGGGAGCGUUCUGUAAGCCUGUGAAGGUGGCCUGUGAGGGUUGCUGGAGGUAUCAGAAGUGCGAAUGCUGACAUAAGUAACGAUAAAGCGGGUGAAAAGCCCGCUC
rnacentral:rRNA from 1 species